CCUACGGGUGGCAGCAGUGAUGAAUAUUGGUCAAUGGGCUGACGCCUGAACCCGCCAAGUAGCGUGCAGGAUGACGGCCCUACGGGUUGUAAACUUCUUUUAUCCGGUAAUAACUCGCCUUACGUGUAGCGCUUUGCAUGUCCCUUAUGCAUAAGGACCGGCUAAUUCCGUGCCCGCAGCCGCGGUAAUACGGAAGGUCCGUGCGUUAUACGGAUUUAUUGGGGUUAAAGGGAGCUGAGGACGCAUGUCAAGUGUGCUGGUAAAUGUUCGGGAUCAACCCGGGCCUUGAAGAGCGAACUGGCGUGCUUGAGUCCGCGGAAAGCAGGCGGAAUUCGUCGUGUAGCGGUG
rnacentral:rRNA from 1 species